rnacentral:rRNA from 1 species
ACAUGCCUACAACAUAGGGUUAAUGCACCAGAUCCCAUUAGAACUUCGUAAUAAAGAGUGCUCAGGAUAAAGUAGUACUGGGAUGGGUGACCGCCUGGAAAGUCCUAGUGUUUUACAUGCC